rnacentral:rRNA from 1 species
ACAGUAUAUAAGAGUUUUGAUCAUGGCUCAGAUUGAACGCUGGCGGCAUGCCUUACACAUGCAAGUCGAACGGUAACAGGUUAAGCUGACGAGUGGCGAACGGGUGAGUAAUAUAUCGGAACGUGCCCAGUAGUGGGGGAUAGCCCGGCGAGAGCCGGAUUAAUACCGCAUACGACCUACGGGUGAAAGGGGGGGAUCGCAAGACCUCUCGCUAUUGGAGCGGCCGAUAUCAGAUUAGCUAGUUGGUGGGGUAAAAGCUCACCAAGGCGACGAUCUGUAGCUGGUCUGAGAGGACGACCAGCCACACUGGGGACUGAGACACGGCCCAGACUCCUACGGG